rnacentral:lncRNA from 1 species
NNNNNNNNNNNNNNNNNNNNNNNNNNNNNNUCUUUCCCUGGAGAUAUUCAAAACCCACCUGGACGCGAUCCUGGGCAAUGUUCUCUAGGUGACCCUACUUGAGCAGGGGGGUUGGACUAGAUGAUCUCCAGAGGUCCCUUCCAACCUUGGCCAUUCUGUGAUUCUGUGACGCAUGGACAAAGUGACACUUGCUCCAGCCACCAGAGAAAGUAUGUAGAGGCUACUUUAGGCACUAAUCCUGGAGCCCAGGGAUUUCUCACCCAAAUGUGGUUGUGCUCAGCUCUCACUCCCUGCACCGCAGCCCCAAAAGCGGGUGAUUUCUGGGCGAUGCUCACACGAUUUAGCCAGACGGCAUGUGCACGCAUGGGGAGAGGAGCGCUGGGGCAACAGGAGCGCUGAAGACGGUCACUGCCAGCCAUGAAGCCCAAAAUAAAACUGUGUGAAGCUCCCAACCAUCACGUGCGUUUUCAUGCUGAAUAACUUGAACUGGUUAAAAUGGGGCCGCAAACCCACGUCGAAACUUCAUCUAUGUGGGAAUCAGAGGCUGACCUUGCUAUACUGGGAGCAGGGAGUGCAAGGAGACGGCUGUCGGGGCGACGGCUGUGUGUGUCGCCUUGUUCCUGGAACUGUUUUGAUACCGGGUGUUUUGAUAAGAAAUGUGCAAGGUUAAAUUGUAGUAGCACGGUACCUGAUAAGCGAUGGGAUCUGCCAGCGACGCCAGCCAAUGCCAGGAAAUGCCGACGGAGCGUGGGGGGAGAGAGGCUGGAGCCGGUUUGGCAGGGGGAGGGGNNNNNNNNNNNNNNNNNNNNNGGCGAGAGAGCAGGUCAGAGCUCGUGGGAAACCGGAGCCAGCCAAGGGCGACGGUGCACAGGGAAGGAGCAGGCGGGGACAGUCCCGGCUAGGGCACGAGGAGCUCCUGAGUAUGGAGCUUAUGGCAAACAGGCAAAGAUACUCCUGGGAACUGUAGAAAUAGGAGAGAGGGAAAGGGAGAAUGCUCCCAGUUCCCAUCUGGGCAGAGAAAUGAUGGAGGAGUGUCCCCUGCACUGCAGUGGUCAGACACCAGACGAGUGUCCCCUGCACUGUAGCCGUUGGAGGUGGAUGAGCCUCCCCUGCACGGCAGCAGUUGGAUGCUGGACGAGCAUCCCCUGCGCUGCAGAGGUCAGAGGUGGAUGCCCGUCCCUUGCGCCUGGAGGCCAGGUAAGCAUCCCCUGCACAGCAGCAGUUGGAUGUCAGAUGAAUAUCCCCUGCACUGCAAUGGCUGGAUGUUGGACGAGUGUCCCCUACACUGCAGUAGUUGGAUGCUGGAUGAGUGUCCCCUACACUGCAGUGGCCAGACACCAGCCGACGAGCAUCCCCUGCGUGGCAGCGGUCAGAUGUCACAUGAGCAUCCCUUGCAUGGCAGUGGUUGGAUGCAGGAUGAGCGUCCCCUACACUCCAGCAGUUGGACACUGGACGAGUAUCCCCUAUGCUGCAGCGGUC